rnacentral:rRNA from 1 species
AUUGAACGCUGGCGGCAUGCUUUACACAUGCAAGUCGGACGAGUGGCGAACGGGUGAGUAACGCAUCGGAACGUACCGAGUAAUGGGGGAUAACUGUCCGAAAGGACAGCUAAUACCGCAUAUUAUUCGCUCGGCCGAUGUCAGAUUAGCUGGUUGGCGGGGUAAAGGCCCACCAAGGAGACGAUCAGUAGCGGGUCUGAGAGGAUGAGCGGCCACACUGGGUGUGAGGCACGGCCCCGACACCUGCGGGAGGCAGCAGUGGGGAAUUUUGGACGAUGGGCGCGAGCCUAAUCCAGCCAUGCGGCGUGUCUGAAGAAGGCCUUCGGGUUGUAAAAGAAUUUUGUCAGGGAAGCGGUACCUGAAGAAUAAGCACCGGCUAACUACGUGCCAGCAGCCGCGGUAAUAC